rnacentral:rRNA from 1 species
CUUAACACAUGCAAGUCGAGGGGCAGCAUGGUCUUAGCUUGCUAAGGCCGAUGGCGACCGGCGCACGGGUGAGUAACACGUAUCCAACCUGCCGUCUACUCUUGGACAGCCUUCUGAAAGGAAGAUUAAUACAAGAUGGCAUCAUGAGUCCGCAUGUUCACAUGAUUAAAGGUAUUCCGGUAGACGAUGGGGAUGCGUUCCAUUAGAUAGUAGGCGGGGUAACGGCCCACCUAGUCUUCGAUGGAUAGGGGUUCUGAGAGGAAGGUCCCCCACAUUGGAACUGAGACACGGUCCAAACUCCUACGGGAGGCAGCAGUGAGGAAUAUUGGUCAAUGGGCGAGAGCCUGAACCAGCCAAGUAGCGUGAAGGAUGACUGCCCUAUGGGUUGUAAACUUCUUUUAUAAAGGAAUAAAGUCGGGUAUGGAUACCCGUUUGCAUGUACUUUAUGAAUAAGGAUCGGCUAACUCCGUGCCAGCAGCCGCGGUAAUACGGAGGAUCCGAGCGUUAUCCGGAUUUAUUGGGUUUAAAGGGAGCGUAGAUGGAUGUUUAAGUCAGUUGUGAAAGUUUGCGGCUCAACCGUAAAAUUGCAGUUGAUACUGGAUAUCUUGAGUGCAGUUGAGGCAGGCGGAAUUCGUGGUGUAGCGGUGAAAUGCUUAGAUAUCACGAAGAACUCCGAUUGCGAAGGCAGCCUGCUAAGCUGCAACUGACAUUGAGGCUCGAAAGUGUGGGUAUCAAACAGGAUUAGAUACCCUGGUAGUCCACACGGUAAACGAUGAAUACUCGCUGUUUGCGAUAUACUGCAAGCGGCCAAGCGAAAGCGUUAAGUAUUCCACCUGGGGAGUACGCCGGCAACGGUGAAACUCAAAGGAAUUGACGGGGGCCCGCACAAGCGGAGGAACAUGUGGUUUAAUUCGAUGAUACGCGAGGAACCUUACCCGGGCUUAAAUUGCAGAUGAAUUACGGUGAAAGCCGUAAGCCGCAAGGCAUCUGUGAAGGUGCUGCAUGGUUGUCGUCAGCUCGUGCCGUGAGGUGUCGGCUUAAGUGCCAUAACGAGCGCAACCCUUGUUGUCAGUUACUAACAGGUUCCGCUGAGGACUCUGACAAGACUGCCAUCGUAAGAUGUGAGGAAGGUGGGGAUGACGUCAAAUCAGCACGGCCCUUACGUCCGGGGCUACACACGUGUUACAAUGGGGGGUACAGAGGGCCGCUACCACGCGAGUGGAUGCCAAUCCCCAAAACCUCUCUCAGUUCGGACUGGAGUCUGCAACCCGACUCCACGAAGCUGGAUUCGCUAGUAAUCGCGCAUCAGCCACGGCGCGGUGAAUACGUUCCCGGGCCUUGUACACACCGCCCGUCAAGCCAUGGGAGCCGGGGGUACCUGAAGUGCGUAACCGCGAGGAGCGCCCUAGGGUAAAACUGGUGACUGGGGCUAAGUCA